UACGAAGGGGGCUAGCGUUGUUCGGAAUCACUGGGCGUAAAGGGCGCGUAGGCGGCUUUAUAAGUCGGGGGUGAAAGCCUGUGGCUCAACCACAGAAUUGCCUUCGAUACUGUAUGGCUUGAGACCGGAAGAGGUAAGUGGAACUGCGAGUGUAGAGGUGAAAUUCGUAGAUAUUCGCAAGAACACCAGUGGCGAAGGCGGCUUACUGGUCCGGUUCUGACGCUGAGGCGCGAAAGCGUGGGGAUCAAACAGG
rnacentral:rRNA from 1 species